CCUUUCUUGUAACACACAGCUUAUAAUUACUAUGUAACUUAGAUGGUCUCAAAAGAAGGAAUUGUGUUGUGUUUAAGUUGCUAACAUGAUUGUAUUAAUCUCCCAGCUGCUAAUUAAUCUUUUCAGUUAUCUGUGCCUCCCUUUCCUUACUGAUUAUGUAGCAAGAAGGUGCCUUUUUUUUCCUUCUUGCUUAAACUGUAAUCUUUUCGGAUUUGGCUGUAUCGACUUCAUUGUAGUUUGCUUGAGUCCUCUAAAGGCACCUCACGGAGAAGAAGAGAUGCUUCUCUUUGGUUUCCAUGCACCCACUGACAUUGGAGAUACCUGCUUUAAGUGCUUUUUCAUCUCCCCGUGUUUGGUAGGACCAAGCUCCUUACCAGGAGUCUAGCGGCUCCAGCCAGGCAUGAGGACCUCUGUGUCUGCCAAGCAGUCAAGAAGCCUCUUUUACCUAAAGGGGCCAACUCACGUAUGACAAAAGUGUUUUAUUUAAGGUUUGCUCUCCACGUGGUAAAACGUAACUGCUCCUGACUGACUUUCUGAUGCCCGAGCCACCUAAGUUAUGACAAAGGAAAUCGGCAUGAGCUGAGAAGAACAACAGAGGAUGCUCUCCUGG